CGGGGAUGUGCCCGCAACCAAGGUACAUGCCCUUGACCGGAAUCAAACCUGGGACCCUUCAGUCCGCAGGCCGACGCUCUAUCCACCGAGCCAAACCGGCCAGGGCAGGAAUUCACUUUAUUACUCACUGCUCAUGUCUUUUGGAUUUCCAGGAGUCAGGCUUCCCUAGAAAUGGAAAUAUUUGGGCAGACAGUGUUUUAUGCCAGAGUGGAUGGAGGAGGAAAGCAGAUACCUCCUCAAAUAGAGCAGGCCCAUUCCUGCCCCGGGAAGGGCGUCGCCUCUAACAGCAUUGCUGAACUUUUCCCCAAAUCUCAGGUUUCACAGGGAGAUGAUAACCUUCCCUGACAAAGACGUUUUUUGGAUUGGCAUCUAGGACAAGUCAAAAUAAGGGGACAAGUUUUCUUUAAGGCAUGGGGUGCCUCCAGUAAAGACCCCCCUCCCCUUAGCUGCACUGGGAUGCCCCUCAGGGGAGUCGGAGCAUCCCUCUACCUUGACUUCUAAGAUACCAGGGAGAGGUCUUACCAGUUAGCAGACCACCAGUGUCUGCUGUGGAGAUGAUUUCCAGCCUGGCAGCUCCACUCUCAGCCGCCUGAGGGACGGGCAGAAAACCUAGGGACAGGUGGUGCCAUUCUGGGCAUGUCUGCUUGUGGCCAGCUGCCUCUGCAAAUAGAAGUUUUUCUAGAAUCGGUUGGAGGGAGUGGAAAGCAGACCCACGCAGUAAAUAAACGUGUGUGUUUAGUUAGGAAAGGAGUUUGCCUGUCAGUGAGUCUGAUGGCAGGUUCCCAGGAAGCGCAGGGCAAGCCGGCUUCUCGGCGUAUUUGUGCUGAGUUGUAUUAAACUCUGGGAACAUUCUGAAGUUUGCUGUAGAGAAAGGGGCAUUUCCAGAGUUGCCAGCUAAGACCAUACCCAAUUUCCCCAAGUCCUUUCUUUGCCAUGCAGUCUGUGCAGAGCUGCGUAGUUAAAUUAGACUUCUUUAUCUCUGUGUCCUUGGUGGCAGCAAAAAUGACAAAAGCUGAGGAUGGAGCAGAGUUGCAUUGUCUCAUUGAAUCCUCACUGCCACCCUCUGAGGUGGGCACUGUUAUUACCGCCAUUCUGCAGAUGGGGAAACUGAGGCACAGGGGUUAAGGCAGCUGCUCAGGCUCACGCAGCCAGCUGGCGAUAGAGCUGAGGGGACGCUUACCGUUCUUUUGGUCCAGGGCGCUUUACGUGUCCCUGUUUAAUCCACAGUAAUUUGUAGUCCUUUUUAAGUUGGAGAUUUGGCUGUGUACACCCAUGUUUGGGUCUCUGUCUCUGCUUCUCAAUUUUAAGGUCCAAUCAACCAGAUAAGAAUGCCUUUAUAUUUAUCGGCCAAAGGCCAGUCAUGCGUGUAUCAGCUUUAGUUGGGAGUCAGCGGCUAAAAGUGACUAGAUUCGGAACCAGGGAUAUCACACAUGCUCUGGGUGCCUUUUUUUUGGGGGGGGGGGGAGAAUGUGGUUUUUAAAAAUAGUGACUUGAAUAUAUACAUCAAGGAGUCAUCAUAGGCUUCUGCAUAGGUAUUUGCAGACUAUGAUGCUAAAGAAAAAAUGCCCAGAAUAAUUGAAACUUGUAACAGUAUUACGCUUUUAUGGCUUUUUGUUGAUGAAUUAUUUAAACUUUGGAAAGAGGAAAAACAAUUCGAGAACUGGAUUUAAGGUAAUUAUUAUGAUAUUAUCUUCUCAGUAAGACCCACAUGUUCUUUUUUAUUAAAGGUGGUGGGGGUUUUCAUUAUUUAGUAUGCUACACCAAGCCUUCAGAUAUAUCCAAUUCUGCCAGUUUCCUGAGCUUAUUAAGGAGAUUCGUAGAAUUACAGAAGAUUAAAGCAAGUGUUAAAAAUCUCCAGCUCCUCUCUUCUGGCUGGAUCACCUAAAGCACCCCAAGUGAAAAAUCUACCCUGUUGUUAAAGACCUCUAGGGAAAAAGCUAUCCUGAAAUGUCUCUCUGUAACUCAUGCCAAUGCUUAACAACCCUGAGGUUUAAUGCUUAGAAGUUGGUUUCUUAUAUAUGGAUGAAAGAAACUCUAAGUACAGUAUAAAAUAUGGAAAGCUAUGCACUAUGCAAAAGACCUCUCAUUUCAGAAAACAAAACAAACACACACACACCAGAAAGUACUUAGUUGAAAAGGAUCUCUUUAUUAUGAUAGUACACCUAAAAUGCCUACAAUAAAAAUAAAUAUUUUUCCCUCAAGAGUUCUUCAUCAACACCAGAACCAGGGCUACCAAUUACCUCAAGAAGUCUUAUCAAGCUCUGUAUCUUUUGGAAAGUUUUACCUAACUUCAGAAGAAGGGGGGGAAAGGAACAGUAGUAACACCACACACACACACACACACACACACACACACUCACUCUGCAGUUUCCUAAGCAGUUUGUUCUAAUUCUUCACAUUCCUCCUGUCAGAGUGUUUGCUUAUGGCUACCUGUGCAUUGUCAUGUAAGCCCAUUUCUAAAAGGUAUGUGUUGGAAAUUGAAUAAAAGUGUUUAAUUUUUCAUAA